GGGGUCGAUUCAGGAUUCGACGGGAUAUUAAAGCCCAAGGUGCAUGCCGUGGGGCGGUUGGCCACGUAAAAAGCCGCAAAAAAAUAGUCGCAAACGACGAAAACUACGCACUCGCUGCCUAAUAAGCAGUAGAGAGCCUGCCUCCAAAGCCCCGCCUACUGGCUGAGGAUUCAAGGCAGUCAAACCCUGUAGGAUCGCGUGGAACCUUUGUCCGUAGGUGAAGCGUUAAAACUAAUCGGACUCGCCCUAGCGAAGCCUGCCACUCGGCGUCGUACGGGUUAACUAAAUGAGAUGGCUAAGCAUGUAGGACCGACGGUGUAGGUAUUUCGGACGCGGGUUCAACUCCCGCCGACUCCACCA
rnacentral:tmRNA from 2 species